rnacentral:rRNA from 1 species
GCUUGAGCACGUAGGUGGGUUUGUAAGUCAGAUGUGAAAGCCUUCUGUUCAACGGAAGAAUUGCAUCUGAAACUGCAAGUCUUGAGUGUAGGAGGGGAGAAUGGAACUUCUGGUGGAGCGGUGAAAUGCGUAGAUAUCAGAAGGAACGCCGGCGGCGAAAGCGAUUCUCUGGCCUAUUACUGACACUCAGUGUGCGGAAGCUAGGGGAGCAAACGGGAUUAGAUACCCCGGUAGUCCUAGCCGUAAACGAUGGGCACUAAGUAGAGGGAAUUACCGAUGUUCUCUCUGCCGUAGCUAACGCAUUAAGUGCCCCGCCUGGGGAGUACGGCCGCAAGGCUAAAACUCAAAAGAAUUGACGGGGGCUCGCACAAGCGGUGGAGCAUGUGGCUUAAUUCGAUGCAACGCGAAAAACCUUACCGGGGCUUGACAUGGUAGAAGUAGGAACCCGAAAGGGUAACGAACGGUAUCCAGUCCGUAGCUAUUACAGGUGUUGCAUGGCUGUCGUCAGCUCGUGUCGUGAGACGUUGGGUUAAGUCCCCUAACGAGCGAAACCCUUAUUUUUAGUUACCAGCGGGUUGUGCCGGGUACUCUAGAAAGACUGCCGUCGUCAAGACGGAGGAAGGUGGGGAUGACGUCAAGUCAUCAUGGCCCUUAUGCCCCGGGCUGCACACGUGCUACAAUGGUCGGUACAAACGGAUGCGAAGCCGAGAGGUGAAGCGAAUCCAAGC